rnacentral:rRNA from 1 species
CUUUUUUUUAACCCUUUAGAAAAGAGAGAGACACACGCCUUGUAAGAAUACAUCUCUCUGUGAGAGAGAGAUAUAUGAGCGUGCAACACAGAGAACUAUUCUUGUAUAAUUCUCCCCACACACCGGGGUAUAUAGAGAGAGAGAGCGCGAAAGUGUCAAGAAUAUUGGGGAUAAUAGGCGCGAGAGGCGGUGUGUCUUUUUUUUAGGUGGAUGUGCAGUGCUGAGGCUUACGCUUGGAAUUGCAUUUAAAACUAUUAAUCUAGAGAUUGAAAGAGGAUAGAGAAUUCCUGAUGUAGAGGUAAAAUUCGUAAAUAUUAGGAGGAACACCAGUGGCGAAGGCGUCUAUCUGGUCCAAAUCUGACGCUGAAGCGCGAAGGCGUGGGGAGCAAACAGGAUUUAGAUACCCUGGUAGUCCACGCUGUAAACGAUGAAUGUUAAAUAUGGGGAGUUUACUUUCUGUAUUACAGCUAACGCGUUAAACAUUCCGCCUGGGGACUACGGUCGCAAGAUUAAAACUCAAAGGAAUUGACGGGGACCCGCACAAGCGGUGGAGCAUGUGGUUUAAUUCGAUGCAACGCGAAAAACCUUACCACUUCUUGACAUGAAAAUCAUACCUAUUCGAAGGGAUAGGGUCGGUUCGGCCGGAUUUUACACAAGUGUUGCAUGGCUGUCGUCAGCUCGUGUCGUGAGAUGUUGGGUUAAGUCCCGCAACGAGCGCAACCCUCAUCCUUAGUUGCCAUCAGGUAAUGCUGAGUACUUUAAGGAAACUGCCAGUGAUAAGCUGGAGGAAGGUGGGGAUGAUGUCAAGUCAUCAUGGCCUUUAUGGAGUGGGCUACACACGUGCUACAAUGGUGUCUACAAUGGGCUGCAAGGUGCGCAAGCCUAAGCUAAUCCCUAAAAGACAUCUCAGUUCGGAUUGUACUCUGCAACUCGAGGGGGG